rnacentral:rRNA from 1 species
GACGAACGCUGGCGGCGUGCCUAAUACAUGCAAGUUGAGCGCUGAAGGUUGGUACUUGUACCAACUGGAUGAGCAGCGCACGGGUGAGUAACGCGUGGGGAAUCUGCCUUUGAGCGGGGACAACAUUUGGAAACGAAUGCUAAUACCGCAUAAAAACUUUAAACACAAGUUUUAAGUUUGAAAGAUGCAAUUGCAUCACUCAAAGAUGAUCCCGCGUUGUAUUAGCUAGUUGGUGAGGUAAAGGCUCACCAAGGCGAUGAUACAUAGCCGACCUGAGAGGGUGAUCGGCCACAUUGGGACUGAGACACGGCCCAAACUCCUACGGGAGGCAGCAGUAGGGAAUCUUCGGCAAUGGACGAAAGUCUGAACGAGCAACGCCGCGUGAGUGAAGAAGGGUUUCGGAUCGUAAAACUCUGUUGGUAGAGAAGAACGUUGGUGAGAGUGGAAAGCUCAUCAAGUGACGGUAACUACACAGAAAGGGACGGCUAACUACGUG